GAUGAACGCUGGCGGCGUGCUUAACACAUGCAAGUCGAACGAGAAGUGAAGACGGAAACCUUCGGGCGGAAGGCUUUAUUUCGAGUGGCGGACGGGUGAGUAACGCGUGGGUAACCUGCCUCAUACAGGGGGAUAACAGUUGGAAACGACUGUUAAUACCGCAUAAGACCACCGCACCGCAUGGUGCGGGGGUAAAAACUCCGGUGGUAUGAGAUGGACCCGCGUUCGAUUAGCCAGUUGGCGGGGUAACGGCCCACCAAAGCGACGAUCGAUAGCCGAUCUGAGAGGAUGACCGGCCACAUUGGGACUGAGACACGGCCCAAACUCCUACGGGAGGCAGCAGUGGGGAAUAUUGCACAAUGGGGGAAACCCUGAUGCAGCGACGCCGCGUGAGUGAAGAAGUAUUUCGGUAUGUAAAGCUCUAUCAGCAGGGAAGAAAAUGACGGUACCUGAGUAAGAAGCCCCGGCUAACUACGUG
rnacentral:rRNA from 1 species